GUUUAUCUACUCCCGAGUUAUGCAAUGUUUUGGUUUGGAGAUUGGGAAGCAAAGGAGAGAGAGGACCACUGAAGGUCUGAGUGGAACCAAAGGAGACAAGCAUCGGUGGAGCGGUCAUUCUCAGCACUGAAAAGAAUCCAAACAUACAGUCGGAACAGGACCGAUCAAGGACGACUUUCUUCCCUGGCAGUGAUCUCCAUCGAGACAGAGAGACUUUUAAAACUGAAGAAAGAUAAGGAAGACUUCUUUAAACAAGUUAUCAAUGCUUUUGUUCAGAAGGAGCGGCGCAUGGACUUCAUUUAUAAG